GGACAAUGGUAGAUAAUUCUGCUUGAAGAAAAACAGCAGUGUUGCAUGCGUCACAUUAUGGAGCCAAUUAGAACUACCUAUGGCUCUCUUACUGCAUGCAAAGAAAGCUGUGGCUCUAUAGCUUGUCAUUUGAGUGAUUGAACCCAAAGCAUUACGCAGCAGCUGAUGUCAGGGUGUGAUUCAGCGGCGGCUGACAGUAUUGAAAACAUGCCAAAUCCAGUGUAGGAUUAUACCAGAAACAAACUCAUCUAUAUCUUGGAUGGCCUGAGGGGG